rnacentral:lncRNA from 1 species
GUUUCGAGUAUCUUAUUUCUUAACCUAUUUGAUAUUCUUAUUUUUUCUAUUAACAUAGUAAGCAUACUUAUUUUAUAUUCUUAUGUGAUAAUUCUGUUGUUUGAAGUGUUAACUGUGUCUGAAUAUAUCCUUGUUGGUUUUGUUCUCAUUUAUGGGGCACUGUUUUCUUGAUACAUUUUGUUACUAUUUUCUCUGAGUUUAUAUUGAUGAAAUCUUUAAGGCAUGAAUUGAAUGUGUCUUUCUCCCAUAGAUGAACCCUAUGACUUCUAAAGAUCCAAACAGACAAACAGAGAGAAGUUCAACGGAGAACUCUAGAACAUCCUAGAGGGAGCUACUUAGUGAUAGGAGCAGAGCCAGAUGGACUGCCUUGAGAGCCAAAGCAGAGAAUUAAGCUUUUGUGCGUGUGUAAAAACAAGAAGGGACAAUGAGCAUGUCAUCACAUCUCUGACAGGGUGUUAUGUACGCUUCCCGGAUAAAAGUUAUACAGGAUGUGUUCUGUGUCUUCAAGGAGGGUGGGGUCCGGUGGAGGCAGGAGCUAACCCGACAGACAAGGACACUACGGCGUGGUCGGUGCUUUGGUCUAGAAGGUCAGAAGAGGGUGCAAGAGCAAAAGGACUGUCAAUCACAACGGGUUUUGUGACGAGGUGGUUGGGAGUGGGCGUGUGGGAGCAGAGUGCUUGCCAGAAAAGGGGCCACCAGCUAAGCGGCAGGCAGUUGAACAUAGGUAAAAAUGGAGGAAAGGCUGCAGACAGGACUGAGACAGCAGUUGGCGGAGCCAAAAAGAGCUCCACAUGA